rnacentral:rRNA from 1 species
GACAGAGGGGGCAAGCGUUGCUCGGAAUCACUGGGCGUAAAGGGCGCGUAGGCGGGAUGGCAAGUCGGUCGUGAAAUCCCUGGGCUCAACUCAGGGGGGUCGGCCGAUACUGCCAUUCUUGAGGGAUGCAGAGGAGACUGGAAUUCCCGGUGUAGCGGUGAAAUGUGUAGAGAUCGGGAGGAACACCGGUGGCGAAGGCGGGUCUCUGGGCAUUCCCUGACGCUGAGGCGCGAAAGCGUGGGGAGCAAACGGGAUUAGAUACCCCGGUAGUCCACGCGGUAAACGAUGACGACUAGGUGUGGGGGGGUUAAGUCCCUUCCGUGCCGCAGCUAACGCAUUAAGUCGUCCGCCUGGGGAGUACGGCCGCAAGGUUGAA